GUAGGAGGACACAGAACGGCCUCAGACACCGAAGUUUCGCUUGGGAAAGGAUGAUGAGGCUCAGAAGAGGAGGAGGAGGUGUUCCAUGUGAUGGAGAUUAGACCAAAGACCGCAAAUGAUGCAAGAGAAUUAAUAGAACGUUAAAGGAGCUAUCAUGACAUCUUUGGGUCGUCACCAGGAACAUUUCUGGCCCCUUCAACAGAUAGAACCUUCGAGGAUGCAUUUUUUAAAAGCCAUCCAUAGUUUUGAAGUUUUGAAAAUGACUUCCAGAAGAUGGUGUACAGUAUGUAUCAUGUGCAUCUAGCAUGGCGUGGAAGGAAGGAUAAUUUGUCCGCAGCGAGCAUGAUGAACUUGCGGGUGAGAAACAGAGGAAACGGAAAGUGAGCACGGAAAAGUCUUAUAGGAUUGCAGCUUACCCUUGCCCUCCGUGUGUACCUCACUAACACGUCACCUCUCUUCCUCUCAUUCCGCAGGGUGGCGGCGGGGGUCUGGGGGCAGGAUGGGGAGGCCGCGCACCCCCCCAGCGAGGAAUCCUUUCCAGAGGGGGACAGAAAAUAGAGGCGACUCCCCUCACUCCACCGCUGUUGACGCUGCUGAAGAAGUUAGAAACGCCGUAUUUGAAAGGCGCUCACGACUCCCCUUGUAUAGUUCUCCUAAGGGGCCAGAAGCUACUAGUGACCAAGGACUUGCCCACUUACACCGCUGCCCUCCAACAUCUCUCAUCAUCACCACCACCACCAGCAGCACCUCCAGCCCCACCUCCACCUCCACCACGUCUUCUCGACACCACGGAGAUGAGAGUUCGGAUGGUGGGGGUGAAUGGAUCUGUAUAUUAUGCAUUAGAAGAGGAAGCGAUGCGUGGGGGUAGAGUGGCUGCCCGAGAGUGGCGUGUGUUGGUCUGCCUCACUUACACGGACGGUGACUCCUCGGCGUGCCUCCCGAGGAAACUGUUCCCUGCACUUGGGCCGCAACACAAGGUGGGUCGGAUUCCAGGUCUGCGCUCAACGUUAUGGCGGCGAGACGCGUUUUGCGAGCUCCUCCACGCCUCACGUCUGGUUCCCACUAUUCGCAGCCUCUCCCCCCCAUGCUACGCCCUCCCUGCCCACGCCCACCACCUCUCAGCCGCCGCCCACGCCCUCCCAGACUCCUUCAUGUGGGUGAUAAAGGGCGCGCAUGCAGGGACAGGCGUGGAGGUGGUAAAUAAUAAGAGACUGAUGGACAUGCUGAGAGAU